UUACGGCCACAUCAAGUUGAAACACCAGUUCCCGUAUGAUUACAGAAGUUAAGCAACGUCGAGCCUGUUCAGUACCGAAACGGGUUGACGAUUUGUGAAUACCAGUUGCUGU